CCCUUAGAUGUUCUGGGCCGCACGCGUGCUACACUGAGUGGAUCAGCGGGUCAGGUUGCGCGAAAGCGUUUCCUAAUCUUUAAAUCCGCUCGUGAUGGGGAUUGACGGUUGCAAUUUUCUGUCAUGAACGAGGAAUACCUUGUAAGCGCGGGUCAUCAUCCCGCGCUGAAUACGUCCCUGCCCUUUGUACACACCGCCCGUCGCUACUACUGAAUGGAUGUUUAAGCGAGGUUCUCGAACUGCUAGCGACUUAGCUUCGGUGAGGUCGCAGUGUGGGAAGUGAACCUAGCUUUGGUGUCUAGAGGAAGUAAAAGUCGUAACA
rnacentral:rRNA from 1 species